rnacentral:lncRNA from 1 species
GGACAGUCACGGUUACGCACACAGUUGGCAUAUUUUAUUAGUUUAUGUUUAAGUUUUCUAAUACCGGAUGUUAACAAAAUAUUCCAAGUUGCCACAUAACCGCGGGCACGGCUUUCCGAAAGAUUAAACCCUGCAGGGAUGCUCCAACUAGUCCAUCACAAACGAACACAGGCCGCAAAGUCAUCCUCUAUCACGAAUCUCGUGAUCUCGUCGGAUUCCUUAGAGGAAAAACCUCAACUCUGGGGAAAACCAAAGCUUCACCGGAAUUCCUAUACGCAAGAUAUACCGCUAAGGUAAGACAAGGCUAGCA